CGUCAAAAAAUAUUUACGUAAAUCGCCCAAUGCUUUGCAAUAUUGGCAUUUGUGUUUGAUUUGAUUAAAUCUAAAAAUAAUGAUAACAAAAUUUUCGAAACGAUCACAUGGUUUAUAGGAAAAUUAUACUGAUACAUGAGCACGGCCUACAUACGAUCAGUUGAACGACCGGUAAAUUCACCGCAAAUUGUUCUUUUAGCCACUCUUCUAAAUCUAAUAUAUGGCUAAAAAAUCAAAAGUGAUGUUAUUCGUAAGUUUACCGAGUGUGCAUAAAAAUUCAUACUUGAAUCAGGUAUAGGAAUCACAAUAAAAUAAUUGUGCAUCAUAAUCUAAAAGUGGUUCAUCAUGCAGCGUUCUAGGAUGUUGAAACUUUUAAUUGGAACGGUUUUAACGUUACAUUUGGGUUUUUACUUCGCAAAACCAUUAAUUUUACCAGCAUCAGAAAAAAGCACAAACAACACUCCAGAAAUUAGACCAUCAUAUUGAUGAACCAUAGCUAUUUCGUCAUGAAAAUUAUGAUAUAUAAUACAUACGAGAAGAAAAACAUUUUUUUAUGAAUAAUAUACUCAGUGUAUUUUGAA